CCUACGGGUGGCAGCAGUGAGGAAUAUUGGUCAAUGGGCGCGAGCCUGAACCAGCCAAGUCGCGUGAGGGAAGACGGUCCUAUGGAUUGUAAACCUCUUUUGUCGGGGAGCAAAAGAGGCCACGCGUGGCGUUCCGAGAGUACCCGAAGAAAAAGCAUCGGCUAACUCCGUGCCAGCAGCCGCGGUAAUACGGAGGAUGCGAGCGUUAUCCGGUUUUAUUGGGUUUAAGGGGUGCGCAGGCGGAAGAUCAAGUCAGCGGUAAAAUUGAGAGGCUCAACCUCUUCGAGCCGUUGAAACUGGUUGUCUUGAGUGAGCGAGAGGUAUGCGGAAUGCGGGGUGUAGCGGUGAAAUGCAUAGAUAUCACGCAGAACUCCGAUUGCGAAGGCAGCAUACCGGCGCUCAACUGACGCUCAUGCACGAAAGUGUGGGUAUCGAACAGGAUUAGAUACCCGGGUAGUC
rnacentral:rRNA from 1 species